rnacentral:rRNA from 1 species
AAAUUUGAAAUCUGGCACCUUCGGUGUCCGAGUUGUAAUUUGAAGAAGGUAACUUUGGAGUUAGCUCUUGUCUAUGUUCCUUGGAACAGGACGUCACAGAGGGUGAGAAUCCCGUGCGAUGAGAUGUCUAACUCUAUGUAAAGUGCUUUCGAAGAGUCGAGUUGUUUGGGAAUGCAGCUCUAAGUGGGUGGUAAAUUCCAUCUAAAGCUAAAUAUUGGCGAGAGACCGAUAGCGAACAAGUACAGUGAUGGAAAGAUGAAAAGAACUUUGAAAAGAGAGUGAAAAAGUACGUGAAAUUGUUGAAAGGGAAGGGUUUGAGAUCAGACUUGGUAUUUUGUAUGUCUUGCUUUCGGGUGGGGCCUCUGCAGUUUACUGGGCCAGCAUCGGUUUGGAUGGUAGGAUAAUGACAUUGGAAUGUGGCACUACUUCGGUGGUGUGUUAUAGACUUUGUUGAUACUGCCUGUCUAGACCGAGGACUGCGUCUUUGACUAGGAUGCUGGCAUAAUGAUCCUAAACCGCCC